AGCCAAGCGCUGAUAAAAGUGACCUGGAAAUGGCAAAGAGGGUGGGGAGGGGUUUGGGGGAACAACUGGACCCUGGAAACGCUGACAGCUACGUAAUUUGUAGCUGUGUGAAAAUAAAAAACCCAGAAACUGUCCAUUGGCAAAGACACAGGCCACUAAAGAGGCCACAUGAAGGGGGCUUCCAGCACUCCCUACUCACGCUAGACUGCAACGAAUCAUGAGCUCCACUAAGGUGCUGAACGUUCUGAACAGUCCCUGCGAUAUCCCUCUGAUGGCAAACACCCCAAAAACCUUGGGACAUCGUCACAUACCUUGAAGACCAAGGCCUCUCUAAACUUGUGGUCCUUGCGACUCUGCCUAGUGCCUAGCAUAGAGCAAGGGACACAGGUACUGGGCUCUCUGACAGGUGACUACCUGGCUUGCUUUGGGGCCACCCAAGGGUCAGCGACCUCACCGUAUCACUGAGGAUCCCAAGGAGAGGCACACACAAUGGAGACCACAAGCCUUGUUCCAAUAAAAAGAAACAAAAGACGUGGA
rnacentral:lncRNA from 1 species